UACAGAGGUCUCAAGCGUUGUUCGGAUUCAUUGGGCGUAAAGGGCGGGUAGGCGGCCACCGCAAGUCAGUUGUGAAAUCUCUGGGCUUAACCCAGAAAGGUCAACUGAUACUGCGGGGCUAGAGUGCAGAAGGGGCAACUGGAAUUCUCGGUGUAGCGGUGAAAUGCGUAGAUAUCGAGAGGAACACCUGCGGCGAAGGCGGGUUGCUGGGCUGACACUGACGCUGAACUGCGAAAGCUAGGGGAGCGAACGGG
rnacentral:rRNA from 1 species